CCUACGGGAGGCAGCAGUGAGGAAUAUUGGUCAAUGGCCGGAAGGCUGAACCAGCCAAGCCGCGUGAGGGAGGAAGGCGCAGAGCGUCGCAGACCUCUUUUGCCGGGGGACAAAAGGCCGGACUCGUCCGGUCCUGAGGGUACCCGGAGAAAAAGCAUCGGCUAACUCCGUGCCGGCAGCCGCGGUAAUACGGAGGCGCCGAGCGUUAUCCGGAUUCAUGGGGUUUAAGGGUGCCGCAGGCGGGCCUUUAAGCCGGCGGUGAAAUCGGGGGGUUAAACCCCGCCGCGCCGGCGGAACUGGGGGCCUUGAGUGCGGCGGAGGCAUGCGGAAUGCGCGGUGUAGCGGUGAAA
rnacentral:rRNA from 1 species